GGAAGGUUAGACACAGGAAUCAAGCUUGGUCCGUGCCCUCAGGGGUCACAGGCUGCUGGGGGAGAAACAAACAGGUUGGGUCCCAUUGCUGGAGUCAGUGUCUUGCAUCAUUCAGCGGAGAGCUGGUCCCUCUCUGUAGUCCUGGAAACUGCAGGACGGAAGAGAGAAGACUAACGAGAACGCCAACCCUCGGGUUCAGCGUGCGGAAAGCCAAACGCUUCCCGCAAUAGCGUACACGGCCGGCAACCUGCGAGAAAUAGGCAAGUGGAAGGCACAGGUCUCCGCGGCGCUUAGAGAGGAAAGGAGGGUUAAAUGCAGAGACCACCAAUCAGAACUAGAACCCUCUAGUCCAGCUGCCCAAUGAGAAAGAGGAUCUUCUGUAGCCCGGACGACCACGCGGCUGGGCUCUAAACUCACCGUGUUCCACGUAAGUGAUAAAUGCCAGAGACAGCAGCACCGCAGCCAGAUGGAAGCUGAAGCCCUGGUGGGGCCCCAGGGGGCAAUGAGGAACACCCUGUGCUCUUCCUGUCCUGCACAACCUCACGAGGAGUAGCCAGGGGACCCACCCACGGGGACCCACCCACCCUUCUGCCAACAGUGUGGGGACGAGGGCUCACACCCAUACCCCAUGAGCAGGUAGAUCAGGAUGGUGACGGAGAGGAAGACGCCUCGAUGGGAGGAAUGUCGGCAGAGGAACAGCACGAGGUAGCACAGGAGGCUGAGCAGCACAACCCAGACCAUGUGCAGCUGGAAGAAGUGGUAGAGGCUGAAGAACCCUCCUGCCACGGUGCUUGCGUGCUUCAGGAAUUGAAAUGCAACCUUGGGAUAUCGGGAUGAUGUUCUAACCAACUGCGCCACCCAACCAGGGCCAAAUCCUGGGUUUAAAGAAAAGAAACAUCUAUAAAGGACAUUUGGGAACCCUGGGAGAAAUCCCGUACUUAUUCACCUGGCACGGAGGGUGACCUCAGCAAGUAGCGCGUGAACCAGGAGGCGAGUUCGGAGCACCCGAUCGAUCCGGAGCCUUUAUGAAGCUUUUACAGCGUCCCCAACAAUGCUUCCUCUUGGGCUCUGUCUGCGCCAACACAGGAUUUACGCGACACCUGCUGUCUGCCUCCCCUACCGUGCGGUGUCUGGGCACCCCACUCAGUCCCUAGGCUGAUGAAGGGCCUAUUUUUCCAAAGGAACAUUUGCCGCGCAAGUACUGCGUGCUUAGCUGUGAUGUGGCAGGGAGAAGGAAGCCCAGAUGAAGCUGGACCCCCGCCGUCACCUGAGGAGCUAAGGAAAACAGGCUCUAAUCAGAUUAGUACUUGCCUCUAUGGAGCUGGGCGAGUCAUGCCCACUCACUGGGCUUUGGUGUCCCUUUCUCUUAAACAAAAGAAUGGGAUUAGCAGUUCUUUGCUUGGAAAUACCGGUGGCAAUUGAAGAGCAACGUGUGUCUCCCCUCUUUAAAAUAAAUGUUAACGUGAAGUUAAAUGGAGUUUUAACUCAUAAAUUAAUAUUCAUGUAUUACAAACAAAAAAGUUGAAUCCAGUAAUUAUGAAUAAAUUACAUAGACCAGA